GGCUCGGUAGUGGAUGGUCCGCAUCUGCAUCUCAUAAUAACGCACUCAGCAUACGCAGACCCCGCCUGUUCGAAUCAGGCCCGAGCCC